rnacentral:piRNA from 1 species
UGGUGUUUCUCUGCAAAUAUUCAUGUUGC